AGAUUGAACGCUGGCGGCAUGCCUUACACAUGCAAGUCGAACGGCAGCACGGGAGCAAUCCUGGUGGCGAGUGGCGAACGGGUGAGCAAUACAUCGGAACGUGCCCAAUCGUGGGGGAUAACGCAGCGAAGCUGUGCUAAUACCGCAUAAGAUCUACGGAUGAAAGCAGGGGAUCGCAAGACCUUGCGCGAAUGGAGCGGCCGAUGGCAGAUUAGGUAGUUGGUGAGGUAAAGGCUCACCAAGCCUUCGGAUCUGUAGCUGGUCUGAGAGGACGACCAGCCACACUGGGACUGAGACACGGCCCAGACUCCUACGGGAGGCAGCAGUGGGGAAUUUGGACAA
rnacentral:rRNA from 1 species